AGUGAAGUUGGCUGAACGCUGGCAUAAGUUACCCAGAAUUGCGGAAUCUUCAUUCUUGGAGGUAUCAAAACCUGACUGGACACGGUGCUGUGCAACCUCCUCUAGCUGACCGUGCUUGAACAAGACAGUUGGGCUAUUAUUUUAAACAUAUUUUCUUCAAUGUGAAGUUCUGGCAAGGAUCAAGUUGCUGUUUGCUCAGUCAGCACUUGGGAAACUUUCUUCUAAAAUGGAGACAUUCUCCACUGAGAUUCCCAUCUGUUAAAAUUCUAUAGAGAAAUACGUAACUGGGAGGCUCAAGAAUUUCAUCUGCAAUGUGUGGAACUUGUUGAUCUUUUCCAGUAAAUUCAAAUUCGAGACACUAAACUAGAGGUUUGCCAAAACAGCAUUGGGCCUCAAACAUCUGUAAAAUAAAUACUGAUUUAUACUUUUGCUGGAACAAUGACAAGACAUUGCAGACUUCUAAAGCUUCUGUAGAUCAAUGAAAAAAAAAAAAAAAAAAAA